UAGGGAAUCUUCGGCAAUGGACGAAAGUCUGACCGAGCAACGCCGCGUGAGUGAAGAAGGUUUUCGGAUCGUAAAACUCUGUUGUUAGAGAAGAACAAGGACGUUAGUAACUGAACGUCCCCUGACGGUAUCUAACCAGAAAGCCACGGCUAACUACGUGCCAGCAGACGCGGUAAUACGUAGGCGGCAAGCGUUGUCCGGAUUUAUUGGGCGUAAAGCGAGCGCAGGCGGUUUCUUAAGUCUGAUGUGAAAGCCCCCGGCUCAACCGGGGAGGGUCAUUGGAAACUGGGAGACUUGAGUACAGAAGAGGAGAGUGGAAUUCCAUGUGUAGCGGUGAAAUGCGUAGAUAUAUGGAGGAACACCAGUGGCGAAGGCGGAUCUCUGGUCUGUAACUGACGCUGAGGCUCGAAAGCGUGGGGAGCAAACAGG
rnacentral:rRNA from 1 species